rnacentral:rRNA from 1 species
UACAGAGGAUGCAAGCGUUAUCCGGAAUGAUUGGGCGUAAAGCGUCCGCAGGUGGCAGUUCAAGUCUGCUGUCAAAGACCGGGGCUUAACUUCGGAAAGGCAGUGGAAACUGGACAGCUAGAGUAUGGUAGGGGCAGAGGGAAUUCCUGGUGUAGCGGUGAAAUGCGUAGAGAUCAGGAAGAACAUCGGUGGCGAAGGCGCUCUGCUGGACCAUAACUGACACUCAGGGACGAAAGCUAGGGGAGCGAAUGGG